AGUAAUAGUUUUUGUUUUGCUUAAUCUAAAGGUUUUUUCAUGCAAGGUCUUUUGCGUUAUAAUAUACCUAACGGCGCACAUUUAAAGACACGUUCAGGCAAGUAAUUGAUACGUAGUGUUGAACAGGCAAAUGCACUGGAAAAUAUCGUGUAACAUUUCCGGGCUGAGUAAAACCAAUCCCAGACUACAAGGAACAGUGCAUAGUGUGCCGUGGUCGCUAUUAAUGUUCACCGUGGAGACUUGCACACGGAAUCGUCCCUCCUCGAAAUAUGUUUUGAUGUG